GGCACAACCAUUAAGACCCUCAUCUAUAGUGGACUGGAACAAAGCACAGCAAGUUUUAAUAAAAGAAAUCUGAGGCCUGGAAUUCCAUGUCUACCAUUCCUCACAGCAAACCUGUGACUGUAACACAGAUUGAUGAAAGAUUCUGCAGGACGACAAAGGUUAAAGAUGUAGACCCGGAGCUAGAAGCCAGCACUGACACUGAUGGAGUGGACUGCGAUGAGAAUGCCCACAUUAUUGUCCUAUCCUCUGAUAACCAAUGUAAUAUGAAAACCGACUACAGAAGAAAGGAACAAAUUAAAUCCAUUAAUCAAGCAUAUCUCUGCUAAACAGUUGUUCGAAACUGAUGAACAAAUGAAAAAUUUACUGUUUGUUUUCAUGCUUGCAAGGAUUGGGGAAGAAAAUUAAUUAUAAGGUACUGGCCACACUAUCAGUAAAGUUUUUCUUGAGGAAACUAUUGCUUUGUCAAAGGACAAAUGAACCUCAUUAGGGAGAUUAGUUUCAGCUGGUAGUUUUGCAUUAGUACAAACUAAUAAUACACACUUCAAAAGAUACCCUGAGUAAGAUUAUGAAAAUUGAAAUCCAUUUGUUACUUCUUAAUUUACUAACUGUUAGAAAAUGACCACUCUAUUACUUAUCAUGAAACCAGAAGGAAAUCAAACACUGCUCACCUUUCAACUAAGUGCCUGAAAGAGAACUGUUGCAGUGUGGGCUUUGUGAGUGCUGCGAUGAUGAACUUACGCAUACAGGGGUUAUAACUUGGCCACGGCAUUUUACUCUUAGGUUGAAGCAUGUCAUGCAGAGCUCCAUGCCAAACGCAAUUUUUGAUAAGCUUCUUUGAAAUCCUUUUCUUUUCAAAUGUUUUAAAUGAAUUGGACAAAUAGCAAA
ensembl:lncRNA LINC02027 long intergenic non-protein coding RNA 2027